rnacentral:miRNA from 1 species
CCCCAGAUGUUGCUGAAAUACAACUCCCAUGAUUCCCUGGCUAUCUGUUUCAUUGAAAGAAUCAUGGGAGUUGUAGUUCAGCAACAUCUGGGG